rnacentral:ncRNA from 2 species
AACUACAUAAAGUAUUUUGGUCAUGAAAAUGUGAAAAGGGAAUCAGGUAAAAGCCUGAGCAGCACCCACUACUGUAAGCCAGACGAGCAUAUAGAGCCACUGAGAAAUCGGGAAGGUAUAUGUAAGGAUGAAAGCCAGCCAGGAGACCUACCAAAAUAUGAACCAAUUU